ACCGGGUUCGGGAUGAAGUGGUUGACCACGCCGCCGAACACCGCCAGGGUGCGCUUGCCGUCGGCCACCAUCUGCACGCCGCGGCUGCGGAACUCUUU
rnacentral:sRNA from 1 species